CUUUUCCAGCUAUUGUUUCUUGGCACACAUAGACCUCUGCCCCAAACACGCAGGUAUCAUCAACCAGAUACCCGUUGGCCGCAUCCUUGAAGGCAUCAAGAGUUGGAUACCUUACCUUGAAGAGUAUAGUAGGUGUCAUUGUUCUGAUCAAGUAGAAAGAGACGAAAAAGUGCUCGGAUCUCCCAAGCUGGGGCGGGGAGAAGAACGAGCUUCCUGCACACAGAGUAAACGAACGUAUAUAGAUGAUGAUGGGAUUUGGAGUUAUAGUUGGGUGAGAAACUACCAUUUGCAGCCGCCGGCUUGGAAAUCGUUGGAGGUGUAGCUCUCUAGCUU